rnacentral:rRNA from 1 species
UACGUAGGGUCCGAGCGUUGUCCGGAAUUAUUGGGCGUAAAGGGCUCGUAGGCGGUUCGUCGCGUCGGGAGUGAAAACUCGGAGCUCAACUCCGAGCCUGCUUCCGAUACGGGCAGACUAGAGGUAUGCAGGGGAGAACGGAAUUCCUGGUGUAGCGGUGAAAUGCGCAGAUAUCAGGAGGAACACCGGUGGCGAAGGCGGCUCACUGGACCGUUGUUGACGCUGAGGUGCGAAAGCGUGGGGAGCAAACAGG